rnacentral:rRNA from 1 species
UACGGGGGGAGCAAGCGUUGUUCGGAUUUACUGGGCUUAAAGGGCGCGUAGGCGGUCGUGACAAGUCACUUGUGAAAUCUCCGGGCUUAACUCGGAACGGUCAAGUGAUACUGUCGGACUAGAGUACAGAAGGGGCAACUGGAAUUCUCGGUGUAGCGGUGAAAUGCGUAGAUAUCGAGAGGAACACCUGCGGCGAAGGCGGGUUGCUGGGCUGAUACUGACGCUGAGGCGCGAAAGCCAGGGGAGCGAACGGG